UACAGAGGUGGCAAGCGUUGUUCGGAAUUACUGGGCGUAAAGGGCGCGUAGGCGGUCCGAUAAGUCCUGUGUGAAAUCCCUCGGCUCAACUGAGGAACUGCACGGGAGACUGUCGGGCUUGAGUUCGGGAGAGGGAAGCGGAAUUCCGGGUGUAGCGGUGAAAUGCGUAGAUAUCCGGAGGAACACCGGUGGCGAAGGCGGCCUUCUGGACAGUGACUGACGCUGAGACGCGAAAGCGUGGGGAGCAAACAGG
rnacentral:rRNA from 1 species